CGUAUGGACCGAGCGUUGUCCGGAAUCAUUGGGCGUAAAGGGUACGUAGGCGGCCUAGUAAGUUAGAAGUGAAAGAAUAUAGCUCAACUAUAUAAAAGCUUUUAAAACUGUUAGGCUUGAGAGAUGAAAGGGAAAGUGGAAUUCCUAGUGUAGCGGUGAAAUGCGCAGAUAUUAGGAAGAAUACCGGUGGCGAAGGCGACUUUCUGGUCAUCAUCUGACGCUGAGGUACGAAAGCGUGGGUAGCAAACAGGAUUAGAUACCCUGGUAGUCCACGCUGUAAACGAUGAGUGUUAGGUUCUUGGAAUAAUCUGGGAGCCGAAGCUAACGCAUUAAACACUCCGCCUGGGGAGUACGCACGCAAGUGUG
rnacentral:rRNA from 1 species